AACGAACGCUGGCGGCAGGCUUAACACAUGCAAGUCGAGCGGGGGAGGUUGCUUCGGUAACUGACCUAGCGGCGGACGGGUGAGUAAUGCUUAGGAAUCUGCCUAUUAGUGGGGGACAACAUUCCGAAAGGAAUGCUAAUACCGCAUACGCCCUACGGGGGAAAGCAGGGGAUCUUCGGACCUUGCGCUAAUAGAUGAGCCUAAGUCGGAUUAGCUAGUUGGUGGGGUAAAGGCCUACCAAGGCGACGAUCUGUAGCGGGUCUGAGAGGAUGAUCCGCCACACUGUGACUGAGACACGGCCCAGACUCCUACGGGAGGCAGCAGUGGGGAAUAUUGGACAAUGGGGGGAACCCUGAUCCAGCCAUGCCGCGUGUGUGAAGAAGGCCUUUUGGUUGUAAAGCACUUUAAGCGAGGAGGAGGCUACCGAGACUAAUACUCUUGGAUAGUGGACGUUACUCGCAGAAUAAGCACCGGCUAACUCUGUGCCAGCCGCCGCCGUAAUAC
rnacentral:rRNA from 1 species